AGCGAACGCUGGCGGCAGGCCUAACACAUGCAAGUCGAACGAAGUCUUCGGACUUAGUGGCGGACGGGUGAGUAACACGUGGGAACGUGCCCUUUGGUACGGAAUAACUCAGGGAAACUUGAGCUAAUACCGUAUGUGCCCUUCGGGGGAAAGAUUUAUCGCCAUUGGGCGGCCCGCGUCUGAUUAGCUAGUUGGUGAGGUAAAGGCUCACCAAGGCGACGAUCAGUAGCUGGUCUGAGAGGAUGAUCAGCCACAUUGGGACUGAGACACGGCCCAAACUCCUACGGGAGGCAGCAGUGGGGAAUCUUGCGCAAUGGGCGAAAGCCUGACGCAGCCAUGCCGCGGGAAUGAUGAAGGUCUUAGGAUUGUAAAAUUCUUUCACCGGGGACGAUAAUGACGGUACCCGGACAAGAAGCCCCGGCUAACUUCGUGCCAGCCGCCGCAGUAAGAC
rnacentral:rRNA from 1 species